AACUGCGAAUGGCUCAUUAAAUCAGUUAUGAUCUACGUGACAAAUUCUUUACUACUUGGAUAACCGUGGUAAUUCUAGAGCUAAUACAUGCAAAAAAGCCCUGACUCACGAAGGGGUGCACUUAUUAGAUAAAACCAACGCGGGGUAAAACCUGUUUCUUGGUGAAUCAUAAUAAUUAAGCGGAUCGCAUGGCCUUGAGCCGGCGACGGUCCACUCGAUUUUCUGCCCUAUCAUGGUUGAGAUUGUAAGAUAGAGGCUUACAAUGCCUAUAACGGGUAACGGGGAAUUAGGGUUCGAUUCCGGAGAGGGAGCCUGAGAAACGGCUACCACAUCCAAGGAAGGCAGCAGGCGCGCAAAUUACCCAAUCCCGACACGGGGAGGUAGUGACAAUACAUAACAAUGCAGGGCCUUUAAGGUCUUGCAAUUGGAAUGAGUACAAUUUAAAUCCCUUAACGAGGAUCAAUUGGAGGGCAAGUCUGGUGCCAGCAGCCGCGGUAAUUCCAGCUCCAAUAGCGUAUAUUAAAGUUGUUGCAGUUAAAACGUCCGUAGUCAAACUUUAGUCUUACCGGUGCGGUGGCCUGGUCUUCAUUGACCAAGCUCACUGUCGCUGGAGACUCCACGUCCGCUUUCUUCUAGUCUUCGGGCUAGGAUUUUGUGGACAAUUACCAUGAGCAAAUCAGAGUGUUUAAAGCAGGCUUUUAAGCUUGAAUGUGUUAGCAUGGAAUAAUGAAAUAUGACUUUAGUCCUAUUUUCGUUGGUUUAGGUACUAUAGUAAUGAUUAAUAGAAACGGUUGGGGGCAUUUGUAUUUGGCCGCUAGAGGUGAAAUUCUUGGAUUGGCCGAAGACAAACUACUGCGAAAGCAUUUGACCCAGGACGUUUUCAUUGAUCAAGGUCUAAAGUUAAGGGAUCGAAGACGAUUAGAUACCGUCGUAGUCUUAACCACAAACUAUGCCGACUAGAGAUUGGGCGUGUUUCUUAUGACUCGCUCAGCAUCU
rnacentral:rRNA from 1 species